AAUGCUUUUCAAGCCUUAGCUAAAAACUGGAACUAUAAGAUCUUCGGUAAUUUUUUUCAAAGAAUGAAGAACUUACAUGAUGAAAUUCUACAUAUUCAAAGUCAAGCUCAUACUUCUUAUUAUGAGGAUUUCUUUAGUAAAGAAUAUCACCUACUUUCCCAACUUGAAAUCUUUUUAAAGUAGAAGAAUUAUUUUGGGCUCAGAGAGCCAAAACUAAAUGGCUUCAAUUAGGGGAUAAAAAUAACAAAUUUUUUUCAAAUGCAGGCAACCAUUAAGAAGAAGAGGAAUCAAAUCUUAAGAAUCAAAGAUGACAUAGAUAUUUGGACUAAUGAUCAAGAUCAAAUUGCUUCUAUUCUCAUUAGUUCCUUUAAAAAAUGUUUUACUACCUCUAUUAAUCCAUCUAAAGAAGCUCUAGCAUAUUUCAUUUCACUACUACAGAUUCAGGGUUUAAAGACACCCAGCUAGAAGAAACAAGGACGAUUUUUUAUUUUACUAUCAUUGUAAGCCAUUAACGACGUCACUUGUUAAAAUCCUGGUGAAUACUUAAAGUUGUUGUGCGUUUUUCGUCAAAUAACAAAGAGAAAAACUCUCUCUCUUUCUUUUCUCCCGACCCCUUCUCUCUCCUCACUCAGUACCAAUCUUAGUUCUCAGAUCUCUCCAUCUCUAUUGCACCACGACCUCUAGCAGCUUUCUGGGUCAUCUCUUCAUUAAUCUCUGAGGAAAAACUUGUGAUAUUUUCUUCUUCUUUUGUUUUGGGUAGUAGAUUGGGAAGUGAAAAUUGAAUUCAUAAAGAAUGAAAGUAAAAACAUACGGAAACAUUUUUACGAUAUCGGUUUAUUCGGCCACUUUCAUCCACUUCCACCUAUGGUCUCCAUGGUAAUUCAUUCUCUUCAAUUUAUUCUAUUAGUCAUGAAGUUCUUGUAUCAUUUUAUUAGAGUGACCAUUUUAUUUGCAAUGUUUCAAUUUUACUUGCAUGCUUUUAAGUUAUUUGUUAUACUUGUCUCCAAGUGUGUGUGAUUCAAAUUCAUUUAUAUAGCUUGAUGACAUAUCAUUUACCUGCAUGCUUUUGAUUUCGUCUACCCCUUAUAGCAUGAUGACAUAAAGAAAAUGCAGUAGUAUGCGUUCCCUUCUUAGUCAAAUUGAGAGGUAAAACAUAUCUUUCUCCUCUCCUAAUUGAUAUGAUGUAAUAUAGCAAUAUUGUUGAUUUUCUACUAUAGAUCUUGUGAUCAAAGACUGAAUUUUCUGAAACUAUUGUAAUGUAGGUGCUUAUUCGCAUCAAUUUUAGCUUCAUGAGUAUUCGAAAGACAUGACAUGUUCCUUUAGGCUUACUAUAGAAACUGUUCCUUUUACCAAUUCAGUUUCUCGGCCGUCAGCUCUAUAACUGUUGUCUGAUUUUUUCAAUCAACAAUACUUAAGCAAAGUUACUUGCAUCUGUUUCUUCUAGAGUUCCCUCUUUUACAGGAAUUUGAUGUUUACUUUGGUUUCUGUAUCUUGCAGCGCCCUGCUAUAAUUUCUCCAGGCUUAAUUUGAGUAAUCCCUCCCCUUGUAUCUCUUACUCAAGAUCAAAUAAUGCAUUUGUUUCAGGCAAACAUUCCUGCUGCUUACCUAAGUGCUAAUAUGGAGUAGAGUGAACAACAAGAGAUUAUUCUUAGUGCACUUAACUCUGAAUAUGUUACCCCUGAAAAAGUUGCCAAACUUUAAACUAUAUAAUUGUAGAUGGGAACUUGGUUUGCCCUGCAAAGAUGGGAAGAACUGUAGCUGUAGACAUUUAUAAUAUAUGUGAGAAAUCGUCUUUGGAGUUGAGACCAUUCAUUAAGGCCGUUUGAAAGUGGCAAUGUUUUCUCCAGGUAUGUAACUAUCUAAA